AUUGAACGCUGGCGGCAUGCCUUACACAUGCAAGUCGAACGGCAGCACGGGAGCAAUCCUGGUGGCGAGUGGCGAACGGGUGAGUAAUAUAUCGGAACGUGCCCAGUCGUGGGGAUAACGUAGCGAAAGCUACGCUAAUACCGCAUACGAUCUAUGGAUGAAAGCGGGGGAUCGCAAGACCUCGCGCGAUUGGAGCGGCCGAUAUCAGAUUAGGUAGUUGGUGAGGUAAAGGCUCACCAAGCCGACGAUCUGUAGCUGGUCUGAGAGGACGACCAGCCACACUGGGACUGAGACACGGCCCAGACUCCUACGGGAGGCAGCAGUGGGGAAUUUUGGACAAUGGGCGCAAGCCUGAUCCAGCAAUGCCGCGUGCAGGAUGAAGGCCCUCGGGUUGUAAACUGCUUUUGUACGGUACGAAACGGUGAGCUCUAAUACAGUUUGCUAAUGACGGUACCGUAAGAA
rnacentral:rRNA from 1 species